CGGCCUCCUGCAGGCACCACGAGUAGCCUUCGCUGUAGUCCUGGUGAAGGCUCUUGGGGCCGGCGGCGGCGGCGGCGAAGGCUGCAGGGACACGGGGCGCGCCGGCCAUUGAGAAUGCCACGGAUGGACGUCAGGGAUGGCCUGGGCCACCGCCUCUGUGAAGUCUUCCAGUCCUUUCCGGGCACUGAGUGACCGAGCCACAGGUCAGGCUGAAGAGUGAGUUGCCAAGGAGACCACCACCACUACUCAGGAGCAGCCCCUGCCCACAGGAAACCCAGUGGCAGCUCUGGUGGCCACCUUGUCAGUUCCUGAAACCAGAGAAGAGGGGCCAGGCUGCCUGGUACUUGGCUUCUCCUGUGGCAAGGAUUGGUUUCCCCUGUUCCAUGUCUGGCACCAGGGCUGGCGAGCAGUCUAUCCCGUGGACAGAGAUGGGGUCUUGCUAUGUUGUCCAUCCUGGACUAAAAUUCCUGGGCUCAAGUGAACCUCCCACCUCCGCCUCCUGAGAACCUGGCACACAGCCUGUGCCACUCCACCAGGCCAACAAUGAUCAUGUUUAUGAACCACACAAAAGGCAAAGCUGAACAAUCAUUUUUACUUUCCGUGAUGAUGAUUCUGUGGAAAAACCAGAACAUGCUCCAGAUUGCAACAGAAUUUCCGCACACAUGUGCAGAUCUGAACGGCAACAGUCGGCAGCAGACACCAGCCCUGGGAAGUUCCCUUUCUUCAGGGUUUCCUGUUUCGGGCUCGUGAUGCUGCUAGGAAGGCUGAUGGCUUGGGCUUUGCUCAACAAGUUUGCAGGCUACUGACCUCCAAAUGUGUGCGUGGUCAUGGGGCAGCUUCUAAUGUUUGUUGCUUAUUUUUUUUUCAGUUUUUGGCCAGGGCUGGGUUUGAACCCACUACCUCUGGCAUAUGGGGCCGGCCCCCUACUCCUUUGAGCCACAGGCGCCUCCCACCUGAUGUUUGUUGCUUUUUUAGGGGAAUUUAUCAGGACUGGGGAGGAAUAAUACAGAAAGAUUCCCACAUACCCUUUACCUGGGCUGUGGUUCGAAUGUGUCUAAUCCCCAAAGCAACAGUUUGGAGAGGGGGCCUGUAAGAGGUGGGGAGGUUGCCAGGGCUGUGUGUCAUCAUGGACACGGCUCCUGGACCUUGGGAUUCCAGCCUUCAUCACUGCAAAUAAAUCUC